rnacentral:lncRNA from 1 species
GCUGUCUGCAGCAGGUCGGCCUCGGCGCUGCGGCCGCCAUCACAGUCGAGGCCGCUUCCGGGGCCCGGCGCCGCUGCUGCCGGAGACAAAGCCGCGGCUCUCGGCGCCCCGCCGCCAGAACGACCAAAAGAGCUCGCUGGUCCCGAGACAAGCAGUUCCGAUGUGUUCUUGAAAAUCUGGACCAAAGAACAAAGCCAAAGAAAACGAGAUGAAAACCACCGAGUGUUCGAUUACCCAAAGCGAAGCCACAUUGACGUCUUGGCUUAUUGGCCUGUUUCCGUAUGAGAUACUAAAUUCUCACGCACUCAUGUAUAGAAUGUGACAGUUUGCUUUCUCAGGUACCAUGCCCAUCAAUUUUUACACAAUUCCAGUUUUAGUAAACAUUUUUCUAACGAC